rnacentral:rRNA from 1 species
AUUGAACGCUGGCGGCAGGCUUAACACAUGCAAGUCGAGCGGAGUGAUGGUGCUUGCACUAUCACUUAGCGGCGGACGGGUGAGUAAUGCUUAGGAAUCUGCCUAUUAGUGGGGGACAACAUCUCGAAAGGGAUGCUAAUACCGCAUACGUCCUACGGGAGAAAGCAGGGGAUCACUUGUGACCUUGCGCUAAUAGAUGAGCCUAAGUCGGAUUAGCUAGUUGGUGGGGUAAAGGCCUACCAAGGCGACGAUCUGUAGCGGGUCUGAGAGGAUGAUCCGCCACACUGGGACUGAGACACGGCCCAGACUCCUACGGGAGGCAGCAGUGGGGAAUAUUGGACAAUGGGGGGAACCCUGAUCCAGCCAUGCCGCGUGUGUGAAGAAGGCCUUAUGGUUGUAAAGCACUUUAAGCGAGGAGGAGGCUUACCUAGUUAAUACCUGGGAUAAGUGGACGUUACUCGCAGAAUAAGCACCGGCUAACUCUGUGCCAGCCGCCGCGGUAA